rnacentral:rRNA from 1 species
CAGUCGCCGCGGGAAUACGUAGGGUGCAAGCGUUAAUCGGAAUUACUGGGCGUAAAGCGUGCGCAGGCGGUUUGUUAAGACGGAUGUGAAAUCCCCGGGCUCAACCUGGGAACUGCAUUCGUGACUGGCAAGCUAGAGUAUGGCAGAGGGGGGUGGAAUUCCACGUGUAGCAGUGAAAUGCGUAGAGACGUGGAGGAACACCGAUGGCGAAGGCAGCCCCCUGGGCCAAUACUGACGCUCAUGCACGAAAGCGUGGGGAGCAAACAGGAUUAGAUACCCGCGUAGUCCCUGUCUCUUAUAC